UACACACCGCCCGUCACACCAUGGGAGCGGGUAUGUACCAGAAGUAGGUAGGCUAACUCGGCAAGAGGGGCCGCUUACCACGGUGCGUUUCGUGACUGGGGUG
rnacentral:rRNA from 1 species